ensembl:snRNA U6 U6 spliceosomal RNA
UUGUUUUGGCAUCACACACUAAAAUAUUGUAACCAAACAGAGAUUAGCAUGGUCCCUGUGAAAAGUUGGCACGUAACUUUAUGGAGCAUUCCAUUAUUUA